AUUUCAACAAUAGACCAAGCGACCGACCAGACGGCCGCAGAUUCUCAUUUUUUUUUCCAAAUUUCAGUCCAUAUCUAAAUUUUUGUACCUAAAUCUUUUUGAUUUUACAGUUUUUUGUUGUAUUUAUUUUGUGAAAAGAUCUAUCAAAAUUACCAGUUUUUAUCAUGCAGAGGGAGUGCAUAUCGGUGCACGUGGGCCAGGCCGGCGUGCAGAUGGGCGUGGCGUGCUGGCAGCUGUACUGCCUCGAGCACGGCAUCAAGCCGGACGGCACGCUGCCGUCGUGCGAGACGGACCCAAACGCGGCGGACUCGUGCUUCAACACGUUCUUCUCAGAGGCUGAUAGGGGCAAGAUGGUACCACGGGUCGUGAUGGUGGAUUUAGAGGCUACUGUUAUUGAUGAGGUCCGUCAAGGCGAAUACCGUCAGCUGUACCAUCCCGAGCAGCUAAUCACGGGCAAAGAGGACGCGGCGAAUAACUACGCGCGCGGGCAUUACUCGACCGGCCGCGAGGUGCUGGGGCCAGUGAUGGAGCGCGUUAGAAAACUGGCUGACCAGUGCACUGGACUGCAGGGUUUCUUCGUGUUCCAUUCGUUUGGCGGCGGCACUGGGUCCGGAUUCACGUCAUUGCUAAUGGAGAAACUGUCUGACGAGUUCGGUAAGAAGAGUAAACUGGAGUUCGCUAUAUAUCCUGCACCACAAGUAUCGACAGCGGUAGUGGAGCCUUACAACGCGGUCCUGACGACGCACGCAACCAUCGGACACUCGGACUGCGCCUUCAUGGUGGACAACGAGGCCAUAUACGACAUCUGCAGGCGGCGGCUCUCCAUCGAGCGGCCCUCGUACGCUAACCUCAACAGGCUCAUCUCACAAGUGGUGUCGUCAAUAACGGCGUCGCUGCGGUUCGACGGCGCGCUGAACGUGGACCUGACGGAGUUCCAGACGAACCUCGUGCCCUACCCCAGGAUACACUUCCCUCUCGCCGCGUACGCACCAGUCGUAUCCGCAGACAAGGCAUAUCACGAGGGCAUGUCGGUAUCGGAGAUCACGGCGGAGCUGUUCGAGCCGCAGAACCAGAUGGUGAAGUGCGACCCGCGCGACGGCAAGUACAUGGCGUGCUGCCUGCUGUACCGCGGCGACGUCGUGCCCAAGGACGUGAACGCGGCCAUCGCGGCCAUGAAGGGACGCGCCGGCAUACGGUUCGUCGACUGGUGUCCCACUGGGUUUAAGGUGGGCAUAAACUACCAGCCGCCAUCGGUAGUGGCGGACGGUGACCUGGCGCAGGUGAAGCGCGCCGCGUCCAUGCUGAGCAACACCACCGCCAUCGCAGAGGCGUGGGGCAAGCUCGACCACAAGUUCGACCUCAUGUACUCCAAGAGGGCGUUUGUGCACUGGUACGUCGGUGAAGGCAUGGAAGAGGGAGAGUUCUCAGAAGCGAGGGAGGACCUAGCGGCGCUCGAGAGGGACUACGACGAAGUGGCCAUCGAGACGUCGGACAUGCAGCCCGGCUGCGAUGACGAACAGUGACGUCAUAUGGCUAUGACGUCAUCGCCCUCACACCCGCACUCCAUCGCGCCGACACCAGAGAAGGUCCGUGCCGUGUCGCAGUGUCACGCGGCGCUACUCGGUGGCUGCGCAGCGUCGCCGCCGCAGCGGACGCCCCUAAAUCGCGGCCGCAUUGAUAAUAUUAUUUAUGGCAGAACUGCAAAAUUUAUUUAAAGGUUUGAAAAUGUCCGCUGAGGUCGGAUGAUGCUCGAGUUGCAACGAUCGUUAUUAUACCCAACGUCUAGAACGAUGGUGAAUGCUAAUUUUGGUCCUUCGAGCCUAUCUUAUGGACUUGUUCACAUUACUUUUUAUAUCUUAUUUUAGAAACCAGUUUUGUUAAUAUUAUUUAUCUGAUUUUUUAAAGUAUUUGAGACUAUCCGUGUUGCCUCCUUCAUUACAAUAAUCGUGAAUCUCUUCCUCUAGUGGUCUUGCGAUGUCGUUUUUUUAGUUCUAUUUGGAAGUUUUUUGAAAUUUUUAUAGCAAAUAUUGGAUGAAGAGAUGACGAAUGGAUAUUUUUUUCCAGUUUUUACAGUAAUUUUUGUCAAGUAUCAAUGUCUAGUCGCGUUGAGUGCGGUGCGAGGUUAUUUUAAGUGUAAUGUUUUGUCUUUUGUGUUGUAAAAUGUUGAAAAAGUUGCUGUACCCGUCUGUUGUUGUCAAUAAAGUGCCCAGUUUUAA
rnacentral:misc_RNA from 1 species